rnacentral:rRNA from 1 species
CCUUACACAAGGGGAUAGCCUCUGGAAACGGAGAAUAAUACCCUAUGAAACUAUCUUAUCGCAUGAAAAGAUAGUCAAAGUGUUUUAGCGGUGUAAGAUGGACUUGCGUCUGAUUAGCUAGUUGGUGAGAUAACAGCCCACCAAGGCAACGAUCAGUAGCCGGCUUGAGAGAGUGUACGGCCACAUUGGGACUGAGACACGGCCCAG